AGGACGAACGCUGGCGGCGUGCUUAACACAUGCAAGUCGAGCGGUAAGGCCCUUUCGGGGGUACACGAGCGGCGAACGGGUGAGUAACACGUGAGCAAUCUGCCCUUCACUUCGGGAUAAGCCUCGGAAACGGGGUCUAAUACCGGAUAUGACUGCGCCAUGCACGUGGUGUGGUGGAAAGUUCUGGCGGUGAGGGAUGAGCUCACGGCCUAUCAGCUUGUUGGUGGGGUAAUGGCCUACCAAGGCUUCGACGGGUAGCCGGCCUGAGAGGGUGACCGGCCACACUGGGACUGAGACACGGCCCAGACUCCUACGGGAGGCAGCAGUGGGGAAUAUUGGACAAUGGGCGAAAGCCUGAUCCAGCAACGCGCGUGAGGAUGACGGCCUUCGGGUUGUAAACCUCUUUCGAGCGCCGACGAAGCGAGAGUGACGGUAGGCGCAGAAGAAGCGACCGGCCAACGUACGUCGCCAGCAGCCGC
rnacentral:rRNA from 1 species